rnacentral:lncRNA from 1 species
AAAAAAAAAAAAUAGAGGAAGAAAAUUUUUAAAGGGAGUCAUCUUCCUUUGCACUCCUCUUUCGCUUCAUUUUUUGGAGGCAGCACAGGAAAGCAGUUUCCAGUCAGAUGAGGAAACAGGACUCUGUCAGGUAGAGAACCAGUAGAUUCUGCGAAGAUGGAGGGGAAUUAUGCUCUGUAUUCCUCUGAAAUAUUGGCCCUAGCAUCCGCAGCGGGAGGUGGGGGCUGCAUCCCCAGCGUGCACCCACCCCUUCCCUCUUUGCGUCUACGGAAUGACAGCUUGGUGCUCCUCUUGCUGCUCUGGCCUCUGCUGUAGCCAAGCAGCUGGUGCAGAGGAGGGCCCGGUUUGCAGGACCGGCAAGGUGCAUGCUAAAGAAGAAAUUUUUUAAAAGCAGCACUGAAGAGGUUUCUUGCUCUUCACCCUUUUUAAAAAAACAAAACAAAACAAAUUUUAACUGAAUAUUUUCCAAAUUUGAUCAUCCCCAGCCCCUCCCUCCACUCCCACCCAAAUGCCUGUUUCCCCCAUCUCUUCAAAGCAAAAACUACAGAGUUACAGUCUCCAGAUUUGGUGUAUCGCUUCCUGCCCCCGCCUCCCCCUCCCCGCCCGCCCAGAUCUCCGUCCUCUAUUGAAACACCUCGAGCAGCCUAGCUCUCCGAGCUCACAUUCUCCCCCUUGCUGGGAAUGGUGCUCCUGGAGGUCGUGCAGUCCCGCUCCGCUUCGAAUGGCUGGUCCUAUAGCACCCUGUUCAGGAAUGUCUCCCCAGUGAAAGGACAGAGACUACAGAGACUGCUAUGUUGAUCAACCCUCAUGCCAACUGUGAAGUUGAAACAAAGAAAGUGACAACCUGAAGAUAUCUCUCCUGUCCAGCAACAAACCCAAAAGGUGCAGUUUCAACCAUUAAAAUUCUCAGAAAAAGAGGCAAUUGUUCCAAGAAACAUAAAAACCCAGUAAUGACACCUAGAUCUCUAACAAGCCAAGAAGAACAUUCCCUUCCUUCUGUGUAUUCCUCUGUUUGUAUUUAAAUUCAUGUGACAUUAAUUUUUUUCCUAGUAUGGAGAAACUUCUUAAUGUACACAUUUUAAAAUCUAAAUUUACACAAAUGUGUUAAUAUGUUAAGGAACAAAAUUGGUGCUAUGAGGAGAAUGAUUUUUAGUCAUACACAGAGUUUAUUCUUAAGAGUAGCAUAGAGAAUUGAAGUACUUUUGAAAUGACAAAGUAGUCACUGGUAAUUUAAAGGAUAAAAGAAUGGGAGAAACUCAUGCUGGAGCUUCAAAAUACCACAUUAUUCCACCUUAUACCAGCCAGUAAACCAUUACCUUUAUCAAGCAAGCUCAGUUCUGUGAGAUAUGAUUAUUGCUUCUAAGAACUUUAAUCUAGAUAGAUAUGUAACUUUUUACAUAAACUUUUGAAAAGGUAAGUAACGGGUAGGUUCAGUAGAUAACAACAAAAAGCAAUGUAAAUGAUGAACUCAAAAGAGGUCUCAAUAAGGUGGGCAAAACUAACUUUCUUAGUGAAGGAAGUUUCCAAAAUAGGAAAGUAGGAGAUUAUUCUUGAAGGAUGUCAAAAAUAUAGAUGGUAUAAAGGUAGAAGAAAACAGAGUCCACUAGGUACACAAUAUUGUAAGCAAAACCUUGGAGAAGGAAAUCCACAUGGUAAAUUUAGGAGAGGAUGAAUGCACGUGUUGAUUUCACGUAACUCUAGGCACGCAGUACCUCUGUGUACUGGGAAAAACUUUGCACACAUACACCUCCCCUUUCAAUCCCCUCCUGCCUCCACCAAGUUUCACCUAGAAUUGUAUUUCUUUGCCAUUGUAGCACAAGAAGGUGAUUGGUGGUAAUAUGGAGAACUUGUGACUUUUCUGUUGAUAAUAAUUACUAUAUAUUGACUUCUCACUCUAUAUUAAGCAUUUUGCAGACUAACUCAAGCCUCAAGAUGAGGAUGCAAAUUAGAUAUUAUUAUCCUCAUUUUAUAGGUAAUAAAACUGAAGUUUAAUAAAAUUAUGUAACUUGACAAAAUGCCACAUAUGCUGUUCAUAUUUAGGAUUACGAUGACAAAGUUCAUGAUUUAAAGCACUAUCUCACAAUAUUGUGAUCAAUGUCAACAAUAUUGCCCUUUUUCUAUAUUCUUUGAUUGUCUAUGGCAAAUUAUUAUUAAUAUUAUUAAAUUAUCACCUAAAUCUUAUUAUUUUUCUGGAUAAAUUACAUUAGAGUGCUAGAAUGUAUUUUCAUUUAAAAAAGGAAAAAUUUGAGAAGUCGAGCUUUUCAGCACUUUAGACCUUUCUUUUCUGUUUUUGGCAAGACUUUGGUGAGACUUUCUACUUUGUUCUGCAAGAAAUCUCAAAUCUUUGAGAAUAAAAAUGGAAAAGUGUUUAUGUCACACAUUGCAAUGUCCUUUUUUACAGACAAGAUGAAUCUAUAGCCCAUAAACUUGGAGUGACUUACAGAAGUUCACAUUUGGCCCUUGCAGUAGACCAAAGACUAGAAAUAAGUCCCUUCAGUUUGGUCCACUCUCAGUGCCACUUGAACUAUGCCGCUCUGCAUAAAUGAAGCAUGAACUUGAAUUUGAUUAAAGGAAACAAUACAUCUAGGUAAUCAGGGAACAAUGUACAUAGUAGAUUGCUUCAAUUUUGUAUUUCUUUGCCAACUCACUUCAAUGUGAAGAACAGCUAGCCAUGAACUAGGAGCUUUAAACCCAUAAAUUGUCAAUCCAUCCCCCAGAAAACACAAAAUGACCAAAGUUUGUGUUUUCAAUAUUGUGUACAAUAUCUUCAAUAAUAUCAAGUUAUUUGGAAUUCUUAGUUUACUGGCACAAAUCAAAUCUUAACCAACUUUGUGCAGAGUAUACAUUUGUAAGUGGAUCUGCAUGAAUGCUUAUAGAUGACCAUUUCAAUAGUGCACUUUUAAAAAUAUCAAAUCAUUUGCUCUUAUAAUCUUCAUUUAUCCACGUAACUAAAGAAUACUUUGGCUAUGAAAAGAUAGACUUGAGAAAUCUCACUCUUCUUUACCAGCAAGUUUGCCUUUGGGCGGUGUUUAAUAAUGACUCAGAGCAUUAUUACUGCAUAGCAUAGAGAUUCAAAAUGCAAUUCUGUUUUAGAGGAACCAAUCAAGCUGGAUCUAUUUGAGGAUAGACAUCUUCAUGUUUGGAAAUACCAGAAUAUUUGGUCAUUGUAAAUGUCCACUUAGAUAUGUGGCAUUGUCACAUUUAGUUCUUUUUCCUUGUGGUGGUUAUUAUCCUGUUUACAAAAUGAUUGUUGAUCAUAUAUCAUGCCAUUCUCAUUGAGUUUAUAAAUAAAACGUUUUUUUUUAAAGGUAGUCAAGCUCAAAAUGUGACUUUGCUGACAUUUUAUGAGACUCUGUCAUAUGUCCCUAACUACCAAUAAAAAAAAAAUGCUAUAUCAACUGUGAACUUGUGUUGAUUUCUUGGGAAAAAAUGCUCUCAUAAUUUAUUUUCUUAUGUUCAUAUAUAUAUAAAUAAUAAUCUAAUGUGCUAAGAAAAAUUAAAUUUAGUGACAAU